CCCAUCAUACACAUAGACCUUUGCUGUUGCACUAAUGGAAUCCUUCAUACCCCGAAUGACUCUCACUUCAUUGUUACGGUGCAAGCUCCUCUCCAUUGCAAGGUUACCCCUCUCAAGCUUCUGAUCAGCUAUUUGCUUAUCCUUCUUGUUACUGUUGACAUUGCCCCCAUGCCCACUAUAAAUCAAAACAUCCUUAUCCUCUGCCUCAUCAUCAUACCCACCAGAGGAGACAAUGCUUACAGCCAGAAGAUCUUCUAUUUCACCUCUCACAACCAUGCAAUCAAUCCCAGCCAUGGACUGGGCAUGCAACCCAACCAACAACAUCUCUAUUCGGAAAAAGAAAAUAUCCCCAAUUUCAACUCCAGGAACCACUCCAACUCUCUUUCUCGCAUUUGUCCUCGCCCCUUUCUUCAUCAGAAUCUUUCCCGCUUUCAAAUCUGCACGGCUAACAGAUUCCUUGGGAUCCUCUAAUCGGCUAAGCCUUCUCCUAAGGGCAUCAAAC
rnacentral:misc_RNA from 1 species